CAUACACACCAGCCGUACUGCCUACCACAACCACAAGGUAACUAACCAUACACACCAGCCGUACCGCCUACCACAAGGUAACUAACCAUACACACCAGCCGUACCGCCUACCACAAGGUAACUAACCAUACACACCAGCCGUACCGCCUACCACAAGGUAACUAACCAUACACACCAGCCGUACCGCCUACCACAAGGUAACUAACCAUACACACCAGCCGUACCGCCUACCACAAGGUAACUAACCAUACACACCAGCCGUACCGCCUACCACAAGGUAACUAACCAUACACACCAGCCGUACUGCCUACCACAAGGUAACUAACCAUACACACCAGCCGUACUGCCUACCACAACCACAAGGUAACUAACCAUACACACCAGCCGUACUGCCUACCACAACCACAAGGUAACUAACCAUACACACCAGCCGUACUGCCUACCACAAGGUAACUAACCAUACACACCAGCCGUACUGCCUACCACAACCACAAGGUAACUAACCAUACACACCAGCCGUACUGCCUACCACAACCACAAGGUAACUAACCAUACACACCAGCCGUACCGCCUACCACAAGGUAACUAACCAUACACACCAGCCGUACC